rfam:Chryseobacterium sp. MOF25P AB670_contig000037, whole genome shotgun sequence.
UAUUAGCCCCGAUGGGAAUGGCAUCCUUUUUUUUCAGUGGAUUGAAAAAAGCGUGGGCAAAAAAAGAUAUAGUGGACAGCGGGAAAUAGC